rnacentral:misc_RNA from 1 species
AGUCGUAACAAGGUUUCCGUAGGUGAACCUGCGGAAGGAUCAUUAAAAAUUUAAUUGUUUACACGUUUACGUUUAACAUAUACAACUAACCAACUUAAUUAUGUCAACAACAACAACCAAAAAUCAAAACUUUCAACAACGGAUCUCUUGGUUCUCGCAUCGAUGAAGAACGCAGCGAAAUGCGAUAAGUAAUAUGAAUUGCAGAUUUUCGUGAAUCAUCGAAUCUUUGAACGCACAUUGCACCUUGUGGUAUUCCACAAGGUAUGCCUGUUUGAGCGUCAUUUCUCCCUCAACCCCCGCGGGUUGGCGUUGAAUGGCACGAGCUCUUAGUCAGUCCAUUCGAAAAGUAUUUUUCUUGUGUUGUUAUUUUCUAAUUUAGUAGUGACAACCACACUAAAAACACAUUUUCCUCAAAUCAGGUAGGACUACCCGCUGAACUUAAGCAUAUCAAUAAGCGGAGGAAAAGAAACCAACAGGGAUUGCCUCAGUAACGGCGAGUGAAGCGGCAAAAGCUCAAAUUUGGAAUCUCAGUCUUUCAGGCUGCGAGUUGUAAUUUGAAGACGUAUUUUGAAGUAAGCACAUGUCGAAGUUCCUUGGAACAGGACGUCACAGAGGGUGAGAAUCCCGUGCGAUGUGUUCACUGCUUCAUGUAAAAUGCAGUCGAAGAGUCGAGUUGUUUGGGAAUGCAGCUCUAAGUG